rnacentral:rRNA from 1 species
AUUGAACGCUGGCGGCAUGCCUAACACAUGCAAGUCGAACGAGUGGCGGACGGGUGCGUACUAUCUGGGAAACUGCCUGAUGGAGGGGGCUAAAUACUGUACACGGUAGCUAAUACCGCAUAACAUCGGCUGUGCCCAGAUGGUAUUAGCUAGUAGGUGGGGUAAAGGCUCACCUUGGCGACGCUCCCUAGCUGGUCUGAGAGGAGGACCAGCCACCCUGGAACUGAGACACGGUCCAGACUCCUACGGGAGGCAGCAGUGGGGAAGAGUGCACAAUGGGCGAAAGCCUGAGGCAGCCAUGCGGCGUGUAUGAAGAAGGCCUUCGGGUUGUAAAGUACUUUCAGCGGGGAGGCGUUACCCGAAGAAGAAGCACCGGCUAACUCCGUGCCAGCAGCCGCGGUAAUAC